UGCUGCGGGUGUGGCCAUUUAAAAAAAAAAAAAAAAGGAGUGAACCUUACAAAUUUCAUAUCAUGAUAAAGCUGUACAAAAAAGUACAUCCUGGUCAGAUGAAGACAUGGAGGACUGAAUGAAGCCUCACUCCACUCCUUCCUCCCCAUCGUGGUUCUGGAGUGGCUCAUGCAGCCUUACUGGUGGGGGAGGGUGACUGGACAGUCUCUGGACUGCUGCCCUCCGCAGGGGGCAGGGGUGGAUGGUGAGGCACAGGUGAGAAGGUGGCAUUGAUAACUAUUCUUUCUUUCUUUCUUUCUUUUUUAAAUGGAGGGUAUUUUUAUUUUAUUUUAUUUUCAGAAAAACUGUUUCAUUAUUACAUUCUAUUUAACAUUUUUGUUUCCCUUUUUCUUUUCUUUUUUAAAUGACUCAAUGAAUUUAUUGCAUUUGUAGUUGUACAAUGAUCACCACGACCCAGUUUUAUAGGAUUUCCAUCCCACAACCCCAGCGCAUCCCCCCACCCCCCAAACUGUCUCCUUUGGAGACCGUAAGUUUUUCAAAGUCUGUGAGUCAGUAUCUGUUCUGCAAAGAAGUUCAUUCUGUCCUUUUUUCAGAUUCCACAUGUCAGUGAAAGCAUUUGAUGUUGGUGUCUCAUUGUCUGGCUGACUUCACUUAGCAUGAUAAUUUCCAGGUCCAUCCAUGUUGCUAAAAAUGCCGGUAUUUCAUUCUUUUUAAUGGCUGAGUAAUAUUCCAUUGUGUAUAUGUUAGACCCUAGAUGAUGUCCAGAGAUCAUUUUGGCAAAAAAAGUCUCUUGAGAACUGUGAUGUAUGUCUUAGCAACUCCGCUGUGCGCGGCUUCCCUGUGUGUCUGUUUAGUGACCGGUGCGGAGGUGGGAAGACAUGAAAGCAGUGAGGUUUUAGAACCUGGUUCCUGUUGCAGUACCUGCUCCUCUCUCUCAAGUCCACGCAACUCCUCCCCCUGGCAGCCGGCCUCUCAGAACCGGAUGCUGAGCUAGACUCCCCCCAGGUAACGUUUUGGAUGUGCUAAGAGAGAGGAAUUAGUAAUUGUCCCUGUGCCUAGAUAUAGGAGGGUGUUUUUUCUUGACAGUUUUCCUCCAAAACUCUGUGUGUGUGGGGCGGGGGGGCUGACUUUGAGCUCCCUUCUGUUCCUCUUUUUAUAGGCGAGACAGAGAUUCUUUGUAGUGUUUUUUCUUUUCUUCUUCUUUUUUAAUAGUUUAGAAAAACACAAAAGGCUUAGGACAUCAGUUGUCAUUUAUUUGAUCCCUUUUCACGGACCUUUUUCUGUCUUUUGUUUAAAAACACCAAAUGGCUUCAAGGGUUAGAGAGCAGCUUCGACCUCCCAUGUCUCUGUGUUACGGUGCCUCGAAAAUACGUGUAUUCUACUCAUCCUCUGCGACCCCGGUCUCCUCCCAGAAGGUCAACGCUGGUAGCAGUUCAGAGUGAUAUUUUAAAUGAAAAUCAGAUCAUGCGACUUCUUUCAUUUAGCAAAUGCUUCCAGACUGGCUGGUAUGUGCCACAGGCAAAAUGCACGGUGUCCAUUCUGUUGGGUGAAGAGAAGAGACGCCAUCAGAUUGCUUUCCACACCCUUCGAGUCAAACCCUUCUUAUGCCUGAGGAGAGACUUCAUGGCGUGGCCUUUCUUAUGGCUUCUGCCUCAUCUCUGCCAGCCUCCCGGUGCCCCCCUGGCGCUGGGCAAGCCGGGCCUGGCUGGUCCUGCCUUUGGACUUUGGCACGUGCCGUUCCCUCUACCCGGGAUGCUCUAUCCCCAGAUCGCCUUGUGGCUGCUGGGUGUCGUCCAGUCUCAGCCGACCUGCUACCUUGGAAAGCAGCCCUCACCUGUCUGGUCCAUUUGGGGAGUUCAUAAAUCGCCUUCACCCCAGUCAUCAGCAUCUGAAACAGCCCUGCUCAUCUAGGUAGUGAUUUCAUAGGUGCUCAGUAAGCACAGUUGUCAGAUGAACAGGGCCUGCUUACUUGCAGUGUUUAUUGAGUAAAAAUCUACUGUGCACAAUUCUUUCAUUCAACAAAUAUUUACUGAGUGUUUCUAGGCCAAGUCCUGCUCCAGGUGCCGGGGAACCAGCAGCGAACAGGUCGACAAAGUCCGUUCUCUUCGGAAGUGAACGUUCUGGUGGAGGGAGACAGAUAAGCAGACCUGCAGGGAACUAGAUCUCCGGGCGAGCAGCGCCAGGGCGACAAGUCAGGCAGAGAGGAGCGUUGAGCGGGCUGGAGCCAGUGGCGGGAGAAGGCCUCUGGUGAGUUGCUCUUUGGGCCGACGCUUGGGCGAGGUGAACUUGACCGAGAGUUUGCUGUGGACACAGCAACCACCCACUUCCCAGGAAGGGAGUUGGAGGCCCAGGGGAGUGAAGGCCUCUUGCAGGGCUCCCCUGUUUAGAGGUAGGUGGAGCCGGGAUUUGUCUCGUGACUCAUGAGCUACUCCUCUGUCUAAACUUGGUGUCCCCCGAGUUCUGCCUGGUUCUCAUGGUUGACAGGUAACUCUUAGGCUUUAUACUCGGUAAUGCUGGGAUUACAGCGUGCUGCUCCUUUACCAGGCAGUGGGCCUCGAGAGGUGUCAGAGCGCGGUGGCUUUAGGUGUCAGUUCUGGAGCUGGUUCGCCAGGAUUUUAUUCCCGACAGCUUGAGUGUCUUGGGCAAAUGCUUAACCUCUCUAACGCGUCCCUUUUCUCAUCUGUAAAAUGGGCAUAAUGCUUGCACCUACCGUUCGUUUGUUGGGAGGAUUAAGCAAGAUUACUGCAGAUUACGUACGCGCUCAUGUGGCAUGUGGAAAACAGUUAGAAAUAUUAGCUGUCCCCAUCUCUCUGGCUGUCCUGAUUGCCAGCCCCACGUCUCUGCCUGUCCCUCACACCCCUCCAGACACUGCUUUCUUUCCAGACUCAGGGCAGCUUUGUUUGUGUUCUCAUUUCCUCAAGAGGACCAUUACAAUGUCUUGCGUUCACUGUGGACACAGAUCCUGCCAAACCCCAAGCUUAAUAGGCUAGAAAGUCAAAGCAAAAUAUUUUGGUUCUCUGAAGCGGUGGCUAGGUCGGGAUCCUGUUUCUACAUCCUGCCAGCUUAUAUGAACGGAAGAGAUGGUUCAGGCCCCGCCUGCAAACCACAACUUUGUUUUGAGCCAGCUUGACUUGACAGCUUCCCUGUUGUACCUGCUGGCUUCUUAGCUGUGCUUUGGCAGCCAGGAGAGCAACUAAACCGGUUUACAGCGAGCCAUUCAUCACCCGUAAGGCUGAACGACUCCCAGGAAAAUGAGGAAUUAAGUGGAGUUGAUCUUUCUCUCUCUCUUCCUUAAGUUUUCCAUUGUACGUCUCGGACUGUAGAAAACCCACGUUCUGCUUUGGCAGGAGAAACCUGAUGAUACAUUUAAGGCUUGUUGUGAAACACUUGGGUCUUUGUACACAUGUUCAUUUUCUCCCUUAAUGAGCACCAAGGCUUUGCUUCCCCAUUUUGGGUGGAAAUCCACAAAGGCAUGUACCUGUUUCUGGUUCUUCCUUGAGAACACGUGAAACGCGAACCGAGUCGGGCUGGAUCCUCAGGGCGAACGCCGGGCUUGGCGUGAAGCGUGUCCGCUGGGACGUGUGCGGCACCAGUACACGGGCCACGUUUAGCUCUUUCCCAACCCCCGUGUUUGCUCUUCUGGUUUUGUUUUUGCUUCUCUUUCUCCCUAUCGCUACCGACGUGCUUUCUUUGUGCUUCGUUGCUUCUCAUACACCAUGAGCGGCAGAACCGGAUCGUCAAGCGUGUUAAGAAGGAGCGGGCUCUGCACGUGAGGCUAAGAGUAACGGGCCGUUCAUCUGAGAGCCUGAGCUUCGUGGCUGGGGUGUCCCAGGGGCGAGAAAGAAACAUGUUGCUCGCUUCUCGGUCCAGGUUGUAAUCCGGAGAGAGGCAGGAUUCCUGGUGAGUUUUGGGUAGGGGUUUAAUCUUCUCAAGUCUUAGGGAGUCAAAAACCCUAUCAAAGAUGCAGUUAGAGAUACAAGGCGCAUUUGGCGUUUGGGUUGGACUGUUAUGGAUUAAUAAGUAAGUAACGCCCUAUAUCUGGCUCUUAGUUAAAUUUGAUUAUCUCUGGGCAUGUCACUUUUUCCACUGAUUUUUUUUUUUUUUUUUGUAGUGGGGAUACCUUUUUUUGCCUUGUUGAUUUGUUAUGAAGAGAGACAAAACACUUGUAAGAUGUUUGAGCAUCUGUAUUCAUAGAAAUCAUUACCUUAACGUCUUUGGGUCGUGCCAGUGAGACUGAGUGUGACGGGAUAACCUGUAGACCCGAUUCGCAGGAGUCGUCACUCACAUUGUCUCCGCAAGUAGGUUUGUGUUUGGCACUUGGAGCUCACAUCCAAUAGAAGGUGGCAGGGCAGACUCCCCUAAGUCUGUUGUCUCCUCACCAUUGAAAUAUGUGGGCGUUCCCGCUGUGGCGUCAUGGGUUAAUGUUCCAGCUUGUCUCUGGAGGUGCCGGUUCGAUCCCUGGCCUGGCUCAGUGGGGUAAGGAUCCGGCAUUGCCGCAGCUGUGGCUCAGGUUCAAUCCCUGGCCAGGGAACAUCCAUAUGC
rnacentral:lncRNA from 1 species